AUCCAUCUGACGAGUCCCAAAUAGGACGUAAGGCAUGUCCUGGAU
rfam:Schistosoma haematobium scaffold44_21, whole genome shotgun sequence.